rnacentral:rRNA from 1 species
AUGCUCGCCGCCUGCGCCUGGAGGCUGUCGCAGCGAGCCGUCACGUUCCUCCCCCGCGUGCGACCCCAAAUCCUAAACCCUUUCCCCAUGGCCGCCGGCGCCGGCGCCACCUCGCCCAAGCGCCUGAGGGUCUACUCGUCGGCCGCCGGCGACGCCGACUCCUCCAACGGCGCGGGGAACGGCAGGCGCGUGGGGACCCACAACGGCAGCUUCCACUGCGACGAGGCGCUCGGCUGCUUCCUCAUCCGCCUCACCUCCCAGUUCGCAGGCGCCGACGUCGUCCGCACCCGCGACUCCCAGAUCCUUGAUUCACUGGAGGCCGUGCUUGACGUUGGUGGUGUCUAUGAUCCCAGCCGGCAUCGCUAUGAUCAUCACCAGAAGGGCUUCAACGAGGUCUUUGGACAUGGCUUUAACACGAAACUUAGCAGUGCUGGGCUUGUUUACAAGCAUUUUGGUAAGGAGAUAAUUGCAAAGGAGCUUCAGCUUAAUGAGGAGCAUGAAGAUGUUCACCGUGUGUAUCUUGCCAUAUACAAAAGCUUUGUUGAGGCACUUGAUGCAAUCGAUAAUGGAAUCAAUCAAUAUGACACAGAGCAAACCCCCAAGUAUGUGAACAAUACACACUUGUCUUCACGUGUUGGGCGCCUUAAUCCAGACUGGACUGAUCCAGAUCAAUCACCUGAGAAGGAAAAUGCCGCAUUUCAAAAGGCAAUGGCACUUGCCGGAAGUGAGUUUAUGGAGAGUGUCCGCUUUCAUGUUAAAUCGUGGCUACCUGCAAGAUCUAUUGUCAUGGAGUGUUUGCUGUCAAGAGGAAAUGUUGAUCCAAGUGGAGAAAUCAUGGUUUUAGAUAGAUUCUGCCCGUGGAAACUUCAUCUGUUUGAGCUAGAGCAGGAGCUGAAGACUGAUCCUCUGACCAAGUAUGUGUUGUAUGAGGAUGAGAGGAGCAAAGGCUGGCGAGUGCAGGCCGUCUCUGUUGCACCUGACAGAUUCGAGAGCCGAAAGGCUCUCCCAGAGAAGUGGAGGGGCAUGAGAGAUGAUGAACUGUCCAAGGAAACCGGCAUCCCUGGCUGUGUGUUCAUCCAUAUGAGUGGCUUCAUUGGUGGGAACAAGACCUACGAGGGAGCGCUGGAAAUGGCAAGAGCUGCCCUCAAAUGCUAA